rnacentral:rRNA from 1 species
UACGUAGGGGGCGAGCGUUGUCCGGAAUUAUUGGGCGUAAAGAGCGUGUAGGCGGUUCGGUAAGUCUGCCGUGAAAACCUGGGGCUCAACCCUGGGCGUGCGGUGGAUACUGCCGGGCUAGAGGAUGGUAGAGGCGAGUGGAAUUCCCGGUGUAGCGGUGAAAUGCGCAGAUAUCGGGAGGAACACCAGUAGCGAAGGCGGCUCGCUGGGCCAUUCCUGACGCUGAGACGCGAAAGCUAGGGGAGCAAACGGG